rnacentral:rRNA from 1 species
GAUGAACGCUGGCGGCGUGCUUAACACAUGCAAGUCGAACGAGAAGUGGAGACGGAAACCUUCGGGCGGAAGGCUUUACUUCGAGUGGUGGACGGGUGAGUAACGCGUGGGUAGCCUGCCUCAUCCAGGGGGAUAACAGGUGGAAACGACUUUUAAUACCUCAUAAGACCACAGCACCGCAUGGUGCGGGGGUAAAAGUUUCGGUGGUAUGAGAUGGAUCCGCGGUCGAUUAGACAGUUGGAGGGGUAACGGCCCACCAAAGCGACGAUCGAUCACCGAUCUGGAGAGACGACCCGAAACCUUGGGACUGGCACACGGAGCAAACUCCUACGGGAGGCAGAAAGGGGGAACAUUGCACGAUGGGGGAGAGCCUAAGGCAGCCACGUCGCGUAAGUGAAGUAGUAUUUAGGUACGUAAGUCUCUAUCAAAAGCGAAGAAAAUGACAGUACCUGAGUAAGAAGCCACGGCUAACUACGUG